rnacentral:sRNA from 1 species
CAUCUUAAUACUUUUUCACUAGAUCAUGAAGCAGUUUAUUUAAUAUUAUUUGGAUAACAAGCCUCCGCAUGAAUGCAACUCGAAUGUCAGUUGUCUGAAGGGAAAAAAAGAUUUAUUGGUUAGUAAAUAUUGAGAAAGAAACGCUGAUAAAGACCAGCUUCAGCUGCGGCCUCUGUCUGGAAUGGGAGAACAGGCCUGUGUUGUAUUUUGGGGCCCUGGGAAGGCAAAAACUGGUGAAUGUCUUUCUUUGUUGGUUAGUGUAAAAGUAGAGUCUACCACAAAUAAUUUCUUAUUUCUGUUCACAUAGAUUUUAAAUUAUGUAGCUCCCUACCUUGUUAAGUAUUAAAGCGGGCUUGUUUUAGGAGGAGGCAUUUAAAUAAUGAAGCUUAUGUAUCUUGUUUUCAGACAUCAAUAUCUGGCUUUGAGUGGCACAAAGAGAUAAAAGAAUGUGGAUUCUG